GGCGGCAUAGCCAAGUGGUAAGGCAAAGGUCUGCAAAACCUCUAUCCCCCGGUUCGAAUCUGGGUGCCGCCUCCA
rnacentral:tRNA from 2 species